UGGGGAAUAUUGCACAAUGGAGGGAACUCUGAUGCAGCAACGCCGCGUGCGGGAUGACGGCCUUCGGGUUGUAAACCGCUUUCAGCCAUGACGAAGCUUUUGUGACGGUAGUGGUAGAAGAAGCACCGGCUAACUACGUGCCAGCAGCCGCGGUGAUACGUAGGGUGCGAGCGUUGUCCGGAGUUAUUGGGCGUAAAGAGCUUGUAGGCGGUUUGUCGCGUCGAUAGUGUAAACACGCAGCUUAACUGUGUGCCUGCUGUCGAUACGGGCUGACUAGAGGAGGGUAGGGGAGAAUGGAAUUCCCGGUGGAGCGGUGGAAUGCGCAGAUAUCGGGAGGAACACCAGUGGCGAAGGCGGUUCUCUGGACCUUUCCUGACGCUGAGAAGCGAAAGCGUGGGUAGCAAACAGG
rnacentral:rRNA from 1 species